UGAAGCAAAAAAACGCGUAAAGAGAAGAGAAAUUUCGAAGAAAUUGGAAUGUAAUUGAAGAAAUACAAAAUAGAAGGGGACAAAUUUCAAAAGCGUACGUGUUUCUUUAUAGUCGUCGAGGACCACAAUCACUCAUUAAAGCUUUGCCAUGUGAAAUGAGCACAGAGUUAUAAUAAGUAUCCGACAGUCAAGUUGGUAGAGAGCACAGAGUUAUAAUAAGUAUCCGACAGUCAAGAUGGUAGAGACGACGAAUCACGAAGUUUCGAAUGAGCUCAACCACAUACCACAUUUGGUUUGAAAAGUAAACCGGGUCUUUUAUUUGUUUUAAAUUCAAUAACAGUAAUAUCGAAUUAAAUUCUGCUUUUGGGAAUGAUGAUUUUGGAUAUUUAACUUAGGUUUUUUCUGUUUUUUUUUUUUUUUUGUGUAGUGGAUGUAUUGAAAUAACGUGUGGCUUCUAUUUUAACAGCUUAUGUUUCAUUGGUGUGGAGGACACUCAGUUUCAUAAGUAAAAGAGAAGUUAUCAAAGAAAUUACGAAUUUGACAUUUUAGGGCCUGAUAUUGGGCCCUUAACUUUAUAAACGGGCUGAGCCUGAGAUUUCGGUUUUCCCGAUACUCGCAACUAAGAGUGUCAAAAUAAGCUAGCUCGCUCAACUCGGUUCAGCUCAUGAUGAGCUCGGACAUUUUAUGAGCUAACUCAGCUCAGCUCAUUUAUUAGAUGAGCUUCAAUAUAUAAAUUCGGACUCAGAUCAUCUUGGUCACGAGUUAAAUGAGCUAGCUCAUAACAAAUAAAUAUAAUAACAAAAAUAUUGUAAAUUUUUUUAAAAAAAUUAAAAUAAAUCCAAUAACAUAAUUAAUUCUAAAGUUAAAUAAUGGAAAUAAACCAAGAAAAAAAUAAUCUCAAAACGCCAAACAAAAAAAAUCUCAAAUAAUAAAUCCUAACAAUUAAAUUAAAUUAAUUAAAGAUAAUAGAAAUAUGGAAUGAUCAAGAAUUUAUUCCGUGUUAGAGUCUUGCUCUUGAGAUGAUCCUACAUCAACAUCUUCAUUGUCUUCAUCUACAAGUAAACGUUUUAGAUAAUAUCUAAAUAUGAUAAUUCCUUUCAUUUUUUUGGGAAACGUUUAAGAUAAAUUUUUUAAAGGAUUAUUUCUAUAUUACUUAAUUAUCUUCUAAAAUUAAUAUGUAAAAACACAAAUUUUCUAAAAGAAUAAUUCUAUUUUUGUUUAAUUUAUAUGGAAAAGAUAUAUAUAUAUAUAUAUAUAUAUAUUUCUAAAAAAAGUCAAGCUCAUGUUCAUUAAAGCUCGCUCAUAUAACUCGCGAUCUAAAAAAAGCUCGAUCACAUAACUCAUUUAUUAAAUGAGCCUAAAAAACAGAGCUCGUGUUCAUGAAAAAUCGAGCUGAGCUGAACCAGCUUAUGAGUUGCGAGCUCAUUUUGACACCCCUACUCGCAACAAAUCCGUUCAAAACAGUAUUUUAUCUAAAUCGCGCUAAAAUUUUAUCAUCCCACCUAACAUUGUGGGAUGUGCAAGCAACGUGAAGGCCAUAACAUUGAUACUAUAUGCGAUUAACAAUUAUUAAAAAGUGUAUUUUAUAUAUGGGACUCCAAAGAACUCGGAAAAUGUUUUCAACGAUCAAAAUCACACCAAACCAAAAUUCAACAUUUUCCUGCAACUUUUUUUUUUCUCUUAAUUUUCUUAGCAACCAAGAAGAAGAAAAAACAGAGGAAAAAUAAAACUCUUUUUUCUUCGUCUUCUGAAUUCCUCAGUUGCUUUCAAAUUCUCAUUUAAAUCUGUUGUAUUGAUCGGUGAGAGACAUUCUACGUAACCAAUUUUUCAAAGGUUGAUUUUCUUUUUAUCAAUUUUAUCAAUUUGAGAUUGUUUUUUGGAUGAUCAGGUCGGAUAUUUGCUCUGUUUCGGUUCGUGUAUGAUAUGCUUUUGUAUGCUCGAUUAUUGAUCGUUCCUUAAAUCAUAAAGAAUCUUCCUUUAUAUUAGUUGUCGUUUUCAAAUUUCUAUGCAAAAUUUUUUACUUUUUAAUGUUUUAUGAUAUCAUAAAACAUUAAAAAGUAAAAAAAUUUGCAUAGAAAUUUGAAAACGACAUCCAAUUCAAAAAAAUAAAAAUUCUAAAACGACACUUAUUAAAAUACGGAGGAGUAACAAGUAUCCGACAGUCAAGUUGGUAGAGACGACGAAUCACGAAGUUUCGAAUGAGCUCAACCACAUACCACAUUUUGUAAAUUUGGUUUGAAAAGUAAACCGGGUCUUUUAUUUGUUUUAAAUUCAAUAACAGUAAUAUCGAAUUAAAUUCUGCUUUUGGGAAUGAUGAUUUUGGAUGAUUAAUUUAGGUUUUUUCUGUUUUUUUUUUUUUUUU
rnacentral:lncRNA from 1 species